rnacentral:rRNA from 1 species
UGAGGAAUAUUGCGCAAUGGCCGAAAGGCUGACGCAGCGACGCCGCGUGAAGGAUGAAGUCCGUAAGGAUGUAAACUUCUUUUGCAGGGGAUGAACAAUCCGCUUCUCGCGGACUUGACCGUACCCUGCGAAUAAGGAUCGGCCAACUACGUGCCAGCAGCCGCGGUAAUACGUAGGAUCCGAGCGUUGUCCGGAAUUACUGGGUGUAAAGGGCGUGUAGGUGGAUCUCAAAGUCGGUCGUGAAAUCCUGCAGCUCAACUGCAGAAUUGCCAUCGAUACUGGAGGUCUUGAGUGCGGCAGAGGGAGAUGGAAUUCAUGGUGUAGCGGUGAAAUGUGUAGAUAUCAUGAAGAACACCGGUAGCGAAGGCGGUCUCCUGGUCCGUAACUGACACUGAGGCGCGAAAGCGUGGGGAGCAAACAGG